ensembl:lncRNA
UCUGAUUAUCUUGUAUUCAUGGAGUGAUAUGGAUAUGAAAGGAUUUGGGGAGAUACAGUAAGUUAAAUAGAGUGGGGCUGGGAGGUGGAGCAAUGACUUCUUCCCAAUUUGGCCAUUCCUGCUUCAGAGCCAUUCUCCCAGGUCCCAGCCUCCAACUCUAUCCUAACCUUUUGAUAAAUCUUUGCCUACCAAGGGGCAAAACUACAUGUUAUCCCAAGGAACAGGGACGACUAUUAGACUCAACUUCCUCGCUUUACCAAUUCCUCUGACCAUUCUUCAGCCUAGAAACUGGGACCACUUUCAUGAUUGGUGGAGAUUACUGACUGGUCACAAAGGGAGUGGCGUGGACACUUCAUAGAGGGCAUUUCCAUUAUGAAUGGGUGAUGCGCUCAGCAGUGUGACCUAACUGCUGGACCAGGUCUGAGUUUCCACCAGCUACCGAUUUUCACAGGAUGAGUAUGCACAGAGUGCCAACUGAAAAAAAGACAAGAAAACUACCUGCAAUUUCCUCCUCUCAGUUCCAGCCUCCACCCCCUCUUCCUGCUCCUUCUUGCUCUCACUGUCCAACUCACCUUCCUCCCCUGUCUCCUCCAUCUUUUAGCCCUUGGCCUCCUCCCCAGCACCAUCCUCCUCUCUCAGUUUUGAGCCCCACCUGUUUCCCUCCUCUGACUAGCGUCAUCCCUUCCUGCCACUCUACCUUAAGGAUUUCCAGGGCCAGCUCUUCCGCUGUUCCCUGCAGACCAUCCACUUGCCACCCUGUUCGUCUUGGCCCAUUGUCUCUUUACUCCUUUGUUCUUGCCCCUACUCCUCCUCCGACCCCUUCUAGUCCCUUGGACUCUGAUUCUCACUAACACUCCAGCUACCCUCAAGCUGGUAAUUCACAAGUAUCGUCCUGGAGAGAUGGGUUGCCUACAGGGGGACUAAUCUGAUGAAGUUCUAUCAGGAAUUAGAUUGUGGAUUCCCUGGUGGACAUAGGGAAUUCAAGAUGACGGUCAAACAACAUUCAGCAUAAAAGAUGCCGGAGACAUCUUCAACAAACUCCUUUCUUCUGUCCCUCUCCUCUCCUGCCUGAUCACCAAGUCUGCACAGUUCUCUACAUUUCCGAUUGACUUCUCCAUGAAACUUGCUCUGUGGCCACAAAGCAAAUAGUGAGACCAGUGACAGAGAAGGUAGAGAAGAGGGAGGAGCAGAAAGCAUCUUAUCUCAAGGUGGGUCAUUAAAAUCAAUGGUCCGGCUCGAGUCUCUCUGCCUGGAUGAAGUGGAGAGACCAGGCCCUGGUGGUCUCAUCUCCAAGCUUUCAGAGCCUUGGAUGCUCCCUGUUCUCCUCUCCUGCUGCCUUGACCGACCAACCACCUAUGGAUCUCAGAGUUACCUCCUCAGGGUUACAACUCAUAAAAGCACAGCCCCAAAUUAGGAUGUCAUAUGGAAAAUACUAUGACAGAGGUCCACAAAUUUUGAAAUGUGGUUCCUGGCAAGCUGAGUAGAUUUGGAUUUAAACUGUUGAGCCCUCAAGCUCAAAUAUUUGACAGAUGCUCUAAGGCUUUACAAAGCACAAAAUAAAUGGUGUUUUUUGAG